CAGUAGUAAAACAAAAAUUAAACUAUUUUAUAUUGGCGGCAUUUCAUCUAUUUAGAGGAAUCUGUUUUAUAAUUGAUACUCCACAAUAAAUUUCACUUAAAAUUAAAAAUUUACAUACCGCCAUCUACAUGAACCUAUUUAAAAAUCUCCUUCAAAAUACACCUUAAAAAGUUAGGUCAAGGUGUAAUCUAUAUUUAAGCAAAAAUGGAUUACAUUAAAAAUAAUUUAAGAAUUAUUUUUACAUUAAAAAUAUGAAAAAGGAUUUAUAAGUACGAUUUUAAUAUUAUUUUAAUCCGAACAUGAUAAUAAAUGUGC
rnacentral:rRNA from 1 species